ACUAUGCAACCUUAAUUAUAAAUAUAUAUUGUCUUUUUUUUUUUUUUUUUUAAAUAUUGUAUUUUAUUUUCCGCAACUAAUUAUUUAAAAAUUGUUAUUUUUUUCUUUUUUUAAAUUAAGAGAAAUAUAAGCUAAUAAUCGAUUCGUUUGUGUUGUGAAAAAAAAAUAGUUAAUAAAAAAAAAAAAAAAAAAAAAAAAAAAUGUGGUGUUCUCUGUUUUCAUGUAAAAGUAAAUAUUAUUAUAAGAAUUUAAAUUUGCCUUUAAUACAAGAUGAAAAAUUCGAAAAUAUUUUUGAUAAUAACAAUAAAAAAAAUGACGUAAAUAUUAUGCUCGAAAAGGCAAUUAACGAAAUAAUAUAUGAAACAAAAGAAAGUUAUGAUUCUAAUUCUGAUUUUGAUAAAAUCGAAAAAAUUGAAAAUAUAAAAACAAAAAAAGAUUUGUAUUCUGAUAAUGAUUUAGAUGAUAUAGAUAUAAUCCUAAAAAAAGGAAAUUGUGAAAAUAUGUUCUUAAACAAUAGAAAAGAAAAUGAUAGAAAUUAUAACAUUGAAAUACCGCCUACAACUAAUAAACAGAGAAUCUAUUCUAUGAAUGAAUGUUAUAGAAAUGAUGUUAAAAAAUAUGAAAAAGAUAAUACGAGCGAUCGUGAUAAAGAUAGUAUCAAAAAUAAUGCUGAACAAAUAAAUAUUCCAAGUGAUGUCGCUAUAGAAAAAUUUAAAGAUGCAUUAUGUGAUGAUUUAAAUAAAUAUUUUAAAGAUAUAUUUGAAAAAAUACAAAUAAAAAAUAAUCAACGUCUACUCAUUAAUGAUAAUAAACAAUUAUAUAACAACAUUUUAAGUAACAUAAAAGAAGAUGUGUGUGCAGAUAUUUCAAAUGAAAAUACAACUAAUAAUAACAAUAAUAAUAAUAAUUUGGAUGACUUAUUCCAAUACAAUGAUAACAUUGCACAUUCUUCCAAUGAACACAAAAACAACAACAAAAACCAAGACUUUACUAAUAAUUCUCGAAAUAAUCAACAUGAAAACUCUCAAAAAUUAAAAAAUUAUGUUUGUAUAAGUCAAAUUGAUACAUCUAAUAAUGUAAAUAACAAUGAAACAUUUGCAAAAAAAAUAAAAACUACUACAUGUCAUCAAACGCCGAAAGAUUCGAUAAACGUUCGUAACAACAAUUAUCAACGUAAUAUACCAACAAAGACUACUCGUAAAAGAACGUAUAAAAAAU
rnacentral:lncRNA from 1 species